AGUGAACGCUGGCGGUAGGCCUAACACAUGCAAGUCGAACGGCAGCACAGUAAGAGCUUGCUCUUACGGGUGGCGAGUGGCGGACGGGUGAGGAAUACAUCGGAAUCUACUUUUUCGUGGGGGAUAACGUAGGGAAACUUACGCUAAUACCGCAUACGACCUACGGGUGAAAGCAGGGGAUCCUCGGACCUUGCGCGAUUGAAUGAGCCGAUGUCGGAUUAGCUAGUUGGCGGGGUAAAGGCCCACCAAGGCGACGAUCCGUAGCUGGUCUGAGAGGAUGAUCAGCCACACGGGACCUGAGACGCGGUCCAGACUCCUACGGGAGGCAGCAGUGGGGAAUAUUGGACAAUGGGCGCAAGCCUGAUCCAGCCAUACCGCGUGGGUGAAGAAGGCCUUCGGGUUGUAAAGCCCUUUUGUUGGGAAAGAAAAGCAGCAGGUUAAUACCCCGCUGUUCUGACGGUACCCAAAGAAUAAGCACCGGCUACCUUCGU
rnacentral:rRNA from 1 species